rnacentral:rRNA from 1 species
GCUCCUACGGGAGGCAGCAGUGAGGAAUAUUGGCCAAUGGCCGAGAGGCUGAACCAGCCAAGUCGCGUGAGGGAUGACGGCCCUACGGGUUGUAAACCUCUUUUGUCGGGGAGCAAAGAGAGUCACGUGUGACUCAUUGAGAGUACCCGAAGAAAAAGCAUCGGCUAACUACGUGCCAGCAGCCGCGGUAAUACGUAGGGUGCGAGCGUUAAUCGGAAUUACUGGGCGUAAAGGGUGCGCAGGCGGUUGAGUAAG